UAUCUAGGCCAUAUCAUCCUGAAUGCACUCAGUCCCAGCUGAGGCCAGAAGCUAAGCAGGGUUGGGUCUGGUUAGUGCUGGGAAGA
ensembl:rRNA 5S_rRNA 5S ribosomal RNA